UACGUAGGGGGCAAGCGUUGUCCGGAUUUAUUGGGCGUAAAGAGCUCGUAGGUGGUUUGGUAAGUCGGAUGUGAAAUCUCCAGGCUCAACCUGGAGGGGUCAUUCGAUACUGCCAUACUAGAGGUCGGUAGGGGAGUGGUGGAAUUCCUGGUGGAGCGGUGAAAUGACGCAGAUAUCAGGAGGAACACCCGUAGCGAAGGCGG
rnacentral:rRNA from 1 species